rnacentral:tRNA from 1 species
GGCAAUUUAGCUUAAUGGUGAAGCAUUAAACGGGAGUAUUGGGAGAUAUGAGUUCGAAUCUCAUGGUUGUUU